rnacentral:rRNA from 1 species
GAUGAACGCUAGCGGCAGGCUUAACACAUGCAAGUCGAGGGGCAGCACGGGUAGCAAUACCUGGUGGCGACCGGCGCAAGGGUGCGUAACGCGUGAGCAACAUGCCCUAUACAGGGGGAUAAUCCAGGGAAACUUGGUCUAAUAUCCCAUAGUAUUUAGAGGAGGCAUCUUCUAUAAAUUAAAGCUUCGGUGGUAUAGGAUUGGCUCGCGUGACAUUAGCUAGAUGGUGAGGUAACGGCUCACCAUGGCAAUGAUGUCUAGGGGUUCUGAGAGGAAGGCCCCCCACACUGGGACUGAGACACGGCCCAGACUCCUACGGGAGGCAGCAGUGAGGAAUAUUGGACAAUGGAUGGAAAUCUGAUCCAGCCAUGCCGCGUGCAGGAAGACAGCCCCUAUGGGUUGUAAACUGCUUUUAUAUGGGAGCAAUAAGGUCUACGUGUAGACUGAUGAGAGUACCAUAUGAAUAAGC